GGGAAUGUUGAGUUUGUUGUUGGUAGUCUUCAUGGUAUUGGGAUUGAGUUUGUGGUAUGUAUUGUUGAUUUGGUUGGGGGGUGGACAUGUGUUGUGGUUGUUGUUGUUGGUAAUAUGGUGGUGGUGGUUGUUGUUGGUAAUAAGGUGGUGGUGGUUGUUGUUGGUAAAAUGGUUGUGGUGGUUGUUGUUGGUAAUAAGG
rnacentral:lncRNA from 1 species